CCUUAACUGGCCGCCGGGGGGCUUACGCCCCCGGGCCCGCGCCCGCCGAAGACACCCUCGAACUCUGUCUGAAGAUUGUAGUCUGAGUGAAAAUAUAAAUUAUUUAAAACUUUCAACAACGGAUCUCUUGGUUCCGGCAUCGAUGAAGAACGCAGCGAAAUGCGAUACGUAAUGUGAAUUGCAAAUUCAGUGAAUCAUCGAGUCUUUGAACGCACAUUGCGCCCCCUGGUAUUCCGGGGGGCAUGCCUGUCCGAGCGUCAUUGCUGCCCUCAAGCACGGCUUGUGUGUUGGGCCCCGUCCUCCGAUCCCGGGGGACGGGCCCGAAAGGCAGCGGCGGCACCGCGUCCGGUCCUCGAGCGUAUGGGGCUUUGUCACCCGCUCUGUAGGCCCGGCCGGCGCUUGCCGAUCAACCCAAAUUUUUAUCCAGGUUGACCUCGGAUCAGGUAGGGAUACCCGCUGAACUUAAGCAUAUCAAUAAGCGGAGGAAAAGAAACCAACAGGGAUUGCCCCAGUAACGGCGAGUGAAGCGGCAAGAGCUCAAAUUUGAAAGCUGGCUCCUUCGGGGUCCGCAUUGUAAUUUGUAGAGGAUGCUUCGGGAGCGGUCCCCAUCUAAGUGCCCUGGAACGGGACGUCAUAGAGGGUGAGAAUCC
rnacentral:rRNA from 1 species